CAACCCUGUAAAAUGGAUUCGGACAGACGUUAGAGAAGUGAAAAGAAAUGUUUAUAAGAAAGAAAUGACCUUUCCAGGAAAAGGAUGGAGAGGGUUUUUCAUUGAGGUUGUCUUUCCAAAAAAUAAUUUGGGUCCUUUCAUGGAAACAACGGAGAUGCUAAUCAUGCCAGACACUUAUCCAUGUUCUGACUGCCAUGGAGAUGGAUGCCAUGGAAAAAUAGUCUGAC